UACGGGGGGUGCAAGCGUUAUUCGGAAUCAUUGGGCGUAAAGGGCGCGUAGGCGGUCUCUUAUGUCAGAUGUGAAAGCCCUCGGCUCAACCGAGGAAGUGCAUUUGAAACUGAGAGACUUGAGUAUGGGAGAGGGAAGCGGAAUUCCUGGUGUAGCGGUGAAAUGCGUAGAUAUCAGGAGGAACACCGGUGGCGAAGGCGGCUUCCUGGACCAAUACUGACGCUGAGGCGCGAAGGCGUGGGGAGCAAACAGG
rnacentral:rRNA from 1 species